AUAAAAUAUUAAUAUUGAAUUGUAACAAUUGUUGCGAGUUUAUGGUUCGACCAAAGGUUCGACUGACUCCUUGUGUUGAAAGGAUCUUGACAAAGAUGAGGUCUUGUGUUUCGUUGAUGCAGUGACAAUGUCGACGGUGCAAGUACCAAGUAUAUGUGGAUAAAAAACUUCCGCUUACAAGGGAGCACAAUGACUCACAUUUGAGGAGAAGAUUGUUGUUGCAAGUGUGAGGAAAGUAAAGUCCCACAUUGCUUGAAAACGUGAAAGUUGAACAAUAUAAGAGAGAUGACUCGUAAAUCCAAUAUUUUAAGAUUUUGAGUUAACAUGUGUCGACCAACUCGGUUUUGUCGUUGCUAUUAGCCGGAUAUGAUUGAUCCCGAACUUUCCUCGUGACCCAACUUUAAUUUUUGGGUUAAAUAAGUUUUUGGUUGAAAAGUGGUAAAUUAAGUUUUUGACCCAAUAUUAA